rnacentral:tRNA from 1 species
GAGGUAUUAGUAAAGAAUUACAUAACUUUGUCAAAGUUAAGUCACGGACUAACACCCGUAUAUCUC